GGCCUCGUGGCGCAACGGUAGCGCGUUUGACUCCAGAUCAAAAGGUUAUCCGUUCAAAUCGGGUCGGGGUCA
rfam:Gaeumannomyces graminis var. tritici R3-111a-1 unplaced genomic scaffold supercont2.7, whole genome shotgun sequence.